AAACAAUGUUGUCAUCCAAAUUA
rnacentral:siRNA from 1 species